CUGGCUCCUAAAAAUGGAGAAGGCAAAACUGUUGCUCAUGAUCAACAUGCUCUACUGGAAAUCUAUAGCUCCUUCCUUCACGUAUACAAACUAACUGUAAUAUACCAUUUCUGGCCUGCAAAGUUCUGCUUAUCAUAACCAGUCUAAAAAGUAUUAAUUUCUUUCUGAUGUAAUUUUCUGUGCAGUCCACAAUCCUGCAAAGUGCUGUGGUAUUUACAGGAUAAACGCUAGCAAUCAACACUAUGUUUCUGAUAGAUUGUGUAUUGAAGUUGAUUAUUUGUCCCAAUGUAAUGAGCAACAGCAAAACUUGGUGAAUAUCUAGAAGAUGACACUAAUAACAAGCAGCCAGGAUGAUAACUUACAGUAGUAGCUACAAAAUUACUAACAGAGUUUUCUACAUUGUAUUCUUACUGUAAAAGAAACAAAACAUCGCUCUUGUGGACAAAAAACAACCUGUAAAACCAUACAUUUGUCUGAAAGGACAGGCUUAUUGUAAAUAAUUUUUUUUUUAAAAAUUUUUAUAUAGGAUAUAAUGUAAAAUUAUACUUACAGACAACCUUAAGACUCCAAAGUUUGCAAAGUCAUAAAUAAGUAUCUGGUAGAAGAGUUCUUGGCUAAAUUGAAGUACAAAGACUAGUUAUAUGGACAGGAUCACGUAUCACCAAGUUACCAUAAUUAAGAGGGGAAAGUAAGGGUCAUCUUGGAAACACCAGACAUAUAUAUCCAUUCAUAUUAACAAAGAUCUUACUUAAACUGUUUAGUUAAAGAUUCACAUGCACUAUCUAGAUGUUUACAAUUAGAUCUGUUUCUUGGUUUCUGAUAUCAUCAGCCACAUUGGCGUAGAAAUUUUACAUACUCAAACAUGCAGCUGCUAUCACUUUAUUCCCGAUACCUUAUAUUUCAACCUCUUUACUCCUUUGCUGCACUCCAAGAAACGCACAGGAGCUUGGAAAUGGACAGACAUGUCUAUCUUAAGUACAUUCUCUUUUUUGUUACAAAAUUUCUGUAGCUGGCCCUGUAAGGCUGCAUAUGCAAAGAUAGAAACUUUGUGUUAUGAUCAUGUCCUGCAGCUUCUCUUAACCCAACUGGAUAUAACAUUUUACAUGACUUUUUUGAAGCCUCUGCUUCCUCACCUUUAUACAGUGUACUGAAGCAAUCAAGAAGACAAAUAAAGUUUCUU